CUGUCUCAAAAAAAAAAAAAAAAAAAGAAAAAAAAAGUAUACACUGAUAAGAAUUCUUCAAAUUGAAGAUUAUGUUCUUAUGUCUACCCAGUCUUUCCUUUUUCCUUUCCUUCGGACUCCAACUAGAACAGCAAGGAGCAGAGACAAAGACAAACUAGUCCUUAAAAUGCUGUUAUGGAGACAAAAUGACACCAAACAAGUCCACUCUGUGAAUUGGUUAUGCUGUAAAUUAAUCUUUGUCUAAAUGGCCUUUGACAAACCGACUGACUCCUAGCUGACCUCCUUAGACAUACCCAGUAUCCCAAGUGAAGCUGUUUCAUCGUUUUUUGUUUGUUUGUUUUAAAGACAGGAGGUCUUUCUGUGUUGCCCAGGAUGGACUCCAAUUUCCUGGCUCAAGCGAUCCUCCUGCCUCCGCCUCCCAAGUAGCUGGGACUACAGGUGCUUGCCUGGCUUGCUUCACCAUUUUCAGUAAGAACGAUCAUGAUGCUGCUCACUGAAGUCAGCAGACUUCCUUUGUGGGGUUAAUGACUGCAGUGUGUUUUGAGGAAAAACAAAACAAAACAAAAAAAAACUACUCCAAUAUUUUGAGGAAAUACUUCUUUAAAUACUGGCCUCUGCCCUGACACUCCUUGCCUCCUAAUAUUGGCACCACCUCUGUUUCCUUACAAUAGAGUCUCAGAACAUGGGAUCAAUCUUAGACCCAAAGGAGGAUGCUUCUCAGAAACACUCUCUGUCCUGCCGUACGUCUGUCUAAACUCCUCUAGCAAUUCCGAUGUGAAAAGAAGAUGGAUGGAGAAGCACUGAUUCAGCCAUGGCUGACAUGUCGGAGUUGGAAUGGACAGUGCCCGGACCUCACAGUCUCAGAGAACUGGAGAAGAGUAAAGCUGAAGAGGGCAUCAUCUGGUUACAAAUGACAAGUCCAGGGCUCCAGAACUCAGGCCAUGUAGAGAGGCCACAUGGGAACUGAGGUUCCUAGUCCUCAGCUUCCACUGAGCUCCCAGCCAACAGCCAGCAAUAACUUGCCAGAUGUGUGCACAGGCCAUCCUGGAAGCAGAGGAUCCAGCCCUCAGCCAAGAUGCCCCAGUUGAUUCCAUGUGAACUAGGAAUGAGCCCUCCUGCUGAGCUCUGCCCAAAUUACAGAUCUGUGAGCAAACUAAAUGACAGUUGUAUUAAGCUACACAGAAAUAGAUAACUGGAAUACCA
rnacentral:lncRNA from 1 species